rnacentral:rRNA from 1 species
AUCGAGUGGCGAACGGGUGAGUAACGCGUGAGGAACCUGCCUCAAAGAGGGGGACAACAGUUGGAAACGACUGCUAAUACCGCAUAAGCCCACGACCCGGCAUCGGGAAGAGGGAAAAGGAGCAAUCCGCUUUGAGAUGGCCUCGCGUCCGAUUAGCUAGUUGGUGAGGUAACGGCCCACCAAGGCGACGAUCGGUAGCCGGACUGAGAGGUUGAACGGCCACAUUGGGACUGAGACACGGCCCAGACUCCUACGGGAGGCAGCAGUGGGGAAUAUUGCACAAUGGGGGAAACCCUGAUGCAGCGACGCCGCGUGGAGGAAGAAGGUCUUCGGAUUGUAAACUCCUGUUGUUGAGGAAGAUAAUGACGGUACUCAACAAGGAAGUGACGGCUAACUACGUGCCAGCAGCCGCGGUAAAACGUAGGUCACAAGCGUUGUCCGGAAUUACUGGGUGUAAAGGGAGCGCAGGCGGGCGAUCAAGUUGGAAGUGAAAUCCAUGGGCUCAACCCAUGAACUGCUUUCAAAACUGGUCGUCUUGAGUAGUGCAGAGGUAGGCGGAAUUCCCGGUGUAGCGGUGGAAUGCGUAGAUAUCGGGAGGAACACCAGUGGCGAAGGCGGCCUACUGGGCACCAACUGACGCUGAGGCUCGAAAGUGUGGGUAGCAAACAGGAUUAGAUACCCUGGUAGUCCACACCGUAAACGAUGAUUACUAGGUGUUGGGAGAUUGACCCUCUCAGUGCCGCAGUUAACACAAUAAGUAAUCCACCUGGGGAGUACGACCGCAAGGUUGAAACUCAAAGGAAUUGACGGGGGCCCGCAC